UUCAUCAGAAGUUGGGUUAUCUUCCUCCUUUCACAUUUUCUAUGGAAAGGAGGGAAACAAAAAAUGAUGAAUAAUCCAAUUUCUUCUCUUGUUAUUUUAUUUUUUUUGUUAAUCUUUACUUGUUUAUGUGAAAUAACUACAAAAGCAGACAAUGCCGAUGCUAAGUUUUACAUUGUCUAUUUGGGACACAAGCCUCAUAAUGAUCAUGAACUUAUCACCGAUUCACAUCACAAACUUUUAGGUCAAGUAAUUGGGAGCAAAGAAGAAGCUAAAAAAAUUGAUGGUGUAUAGUUAUAGGCAUGGCUUCUCUGGAUUCGCUGCUAAUCUUACUUAUUCUCAAGCCAAACAAAUUGAAGAAUUACCUGAUGUGGUUCAAGUUAUACCAAAUCAUUUUUACAAGACUCAUACGUCAAGGAGUUGGGUCUUUCUAAACAUGAUCCUAAUAGUCUUGUCAACAAAACAAAUCAGGGUGACAGAAUAAUUAUUGGCAUAUUAGAUUCAAGUAUUGCAUGGGGAGAUAAUUCGAAAGCAUUGGAGCUCGUUGGUACAUAAAAGGAGCGAUGGAAGAUAAUGAACUAAACCAAACAAUGGUUGAAAAAUUAUAUAAAUUAUGACCAUUAGAUGAUAAUGGGCAUGGGACUCAUGUUGCAUAUACAGCUGCUGGUUCUUAUAUUAACAAUGUGAAAUAUCAUGGUGUUAAUAUGGGAACAACACGAGGAGGAGCACCACUUGCACGAAAAAUGGCAACUGAAAGUCAAAUGCAUGAUGAUGUUACGACUGUGGAGGCGACUAGCAUUGCUACGACAAGCCGCGCAAAUGCUCCACAACAUAUGGCACCUGCGGAAAAGCCCGAAAAGUUUGCGAGCAUCAGCUUUAAGAGAUGGCAGCAAAAGAUGUUCUUUUACCUCACCACUUUGUGUCUGCAACGGUUCACUAGCGAAGACGCUCCUGAGGUGCCCGAGGGAACCUCGGACAAAGAGCGCUUCGUAAUUGUAGAGGCUUGGAAGCACUUAGACUUCCUCUGCAGGAAUUACAUAUUAAGUGGUCUCCAAGAUGACCUUUACAAUGUUUAUUGUGGAACUAAGACAUCGAAGGAAUUGUGGGGGGCACUUGAACGAAAAUACAAGAUGGAGGAUGCGGGAAUUAAGAAAUUCCUUAUUGCAAGGUUCCUGGACUUUAAAAUAGUAGAUAGCAAACCGGUUGUCUCUCAAGCGUAGGAGUUGCAAGUAAUCAUCCACGAUUUCUUAGCAGAAGGUUUAAUUGUGAAUGAUGCUUUCCAAGUAGCAGCGAUAAUUGAGAAGUUAUCACCAAUGUAGAAUGACUUCAAAAACUACUUGAAGCAUAAAUGCAAGGAGAUGGCUGUCGAAGAUCUUAUUGUCCGACUGCGUAUUGAAGAGGACAAUAAAGCUGCCGAGAGAAGGUCAAAAGGGAAUUCUAAAAUUAAUGGAGCACAUAUUGUAAAAGAUGAUCAAAAUAAUUCUAAGAAAAGAAAGAAAGUUGAACAAGGAAGCCAUCAAUCCAAGAAGAAAUUCAAGGAAAAAUGCUUCAAUUGUGGCAAGGUUGGACAAAAGUUCAUGAAUUGUCGAGCCCCGAAGAAAGGCAAGAAGAAUGAUCAAGCAAAUAUGAUUGAAUCCAACAAAGAAUGCGAUGAUCUGUGUGCUAUGUUUUCAGAAUGCAACUUGGCAAGGAAUCCUCGCGAAUGGUGGAUGGAUUCUGGUGCCACCCGCCAUGUAUGUGCCAAUAAUGAGUUGUUUUCGUCAUUCGCUCAGGCUCAAGUAGAAGAAAUGAUCUACAUGGCUAACUCCGCUACUGCUAAGGUGGAAGGAACAGGAAAAAUAUGCUUGAAAAUGACUUCGAGAAAGGUCUUGACACUUAACAAUGUCUUGUAUGUUCCGGAGUUACGUAGGAACCUAAUUUCUGUUUCACUUCUAGAUAAUAACGGAUUCGAAUGUGUAACUGUUUCUUGAAAAAUUGUAAUUAGCAAAGGAGAAAUGUAUGUAGAAAAAGGCUAUCUGACCGAAAGCCUUUAUCAGAUGAAUGUAAUGACUGUUGAAAUAAAUAAAAGUUCAAAUUCUUCUUA